rnacentral:rRNA from 1 species
GAUGAACGCUAGCUACAGGCUUAACACAUGCAAGUCGAGGGGAAACGACAUCGAAAGCUUGCUUUUGGUGGGCGUCGACCGGCGCACGGGUGAGUAACGCGUAUCCAACCUGCCCACCACUUGGGAAUAACCUUGCGAAAGUAAGACUAAUACCCAAUGAUAUCCCAUGAAGGCAUCCGAAUGGGAUUAAAGAUUUAUCGGUGAUGGAUGGGGAUGCGUCUGAUUAGGUAGUAGGCGGGGCAACGGCCCACCUAGCCGACGAUCAGUAGGGGUUCUGAGAGGAAGGUCCCCCACAUUGGAACUGAGACACGGUCCAAACUCCUACGGGAGGCAGCAGUGAGGAAUAUUGGUCAAUGGGCGCGAGCCUGAACCAGCCAAGUAGCGUGCGGGAGGAAGGCCCUAUGGGUUGUAAACUGCUUUUAUACGGGGAUAAAGUGAGCCACGUGUGGCUUAUUGCAGGUACCGUAUGAAUAAGGACCGGCUAAUUCCGUG